UUAAUGAAGAAUAAAAACAGCAAAAAUUUGACGGAAGUUGUAUGAGAGUAAACUCCCUUACUUCGGAACUCUUUUGCUUCAGUCACUGGGAACCCGAUGCCGCUGGCUUUUAGAGAACAAUCAGAAUGCUUUGAAUCAUUUUGGAAAGUUCCAGAAAGAAAAAGAAAUUCCAGACUUUCAAGGAACCAAAAAGACAA